rnacentral:lncRNA from 1 species
UUGUAAUCCCCAGUGCUGGAGGUGGGGCCUGGUGGGAGGUGUUUGGUCAUGGGGUGAAUCCCUCAUGGCCUGGUGCCAUCUUCAUGACAGUGAAUUCUGGCAAGAUCUGAUCCUUUAAAAGAGUGUGGCACCUACCACCUCCACUCUCUCUUGCUCCCGCCUGUGAUGUGCCUGUACCCCCUUUGCCUUCUGCCAUGAUUGGAAGCUUCCUGAGGUCUCUCCAGAAGCACAUGCUGCUGUACUUCCUGUACGCCUACAGAACUGCUCCAAGCUUGAUAUAGAAGACUAUCAUAUGAACCAGAAAGGGUAACUGAAACCAAAGAAAUGACUCCAGUAUCAAGCUAAAGACAUGCCUUAAAGGAUGAGGAGGAGCAGAAAUCUUACCAGCAAGGCAAGAAAGAAGCCGUACGUGAACAGCCUCUGCUUUAGGCCCAGAAGGAAAAGAAGCUUACAGGAGACAAUCAGUCUUACACUCUUCCAUGGUCACAAACAAGAGGUCCCUGGAUCUACAGGUCAUCUUGCCCCUGAAAUGGCCCUGGAAAGCUAUGGCUGAAGAAUGGAGGAAAAGAUGACUUUCUCUGUUUCUUCAGACCAGGCAUCAACUGGGAUGUUGGGAUGUUGAUAAAAGGACAUCUCAUCCUUUGUUUUCUGCCUAUGCUUUCACCAUACCCAUUCCCAUGUCUGGUCAUCACAGCAUCCUUCACAGCCCUUAGCUGAAUCAUGUUGAGUACAGGAUGGUGUGAAUAUCAUGGUUUGAAUGCAACCAUGGUCUGUCAGUGUGGCUUGUUUUUUGCAGCCCACUUAGACUUAAGCCCUCUUAAUUUCAAAAUUACGUUCAUAUGUGCCAAUAAAGU